rnacentral:misc_RNA from 1 species
CCUGUUACAUAUAAGUCAAAUUUAUUGCGGGCUACAUGCAUUUCCAUUCAGCAUAGCUUUGUUGACAUAAGAAUAUUGAAAUAGCAAAUUGAGGGCAAGGAGGGAAAUAUUAUGAAUUUUCAAGAGAAACUAGAAGGGGAUAAUGUAAUGCACCAGAGAGGCUCAAUGUAAAAGUAAUGUUAAGGCAUGCAAGUUAAAUAAAAAAUGUGAUGCGUCAUAUCAGCAAACAAGAUGUCCAUAUGUUCAAAUCAAACUAAAAGUUUCACACCAUCUUAAAACACCGAAAGGUAUGAACAACGUCCAUGUCUUACCAUCUUCACCAAAAAGGAUAGCAGUAGCAUACAAAAACAACCAUAACGAGCAUAAAACUAGAAGCCAACCAUUGGAAACAAUUUAGUUGGCCGAUUCCAAGUUUUCUUAUGCAAAAUAAACGCCCUAGUUCUUGAAGAUACCUCUAUUUUACCUACUCGAAAUUUAAGAAGGCUCAUAAUCCUCUAGUAAAAACCCAUAGAAAACACACUAGCUCUCACAAAAUUUCCACCUAUGGGCCUGGGUAUUGUUCCUCUUAAUUGACAAAAAUAAGGAUUCGACACUAG